CCUACGGGAGGCAGCAGUGGGGAAUCUUGCGCAAUGGGCGAAAGCCUGACGCAGCCAUGCCGCGUGAAUGAUGAAGGUCUUAGGAUUGUAAAAUUCUUUCACCGAGGACGAUAAUGACGGUACUCGGAGAAGAAGCCCCGGCUAACUUCGUGCCAGCAGCCGCGGUAAUACGAAGGGGGCUAGCGUUGCUCGGAAUUACUGGGCGUAAAGGGAGCGUAGGCGGAUAGUUUAGUCAGAGGUGAAAGCCCAGGGCUCAACCUUGGAAUUGCCUUUGAUACUGGCUAUCUUGAGUACGGAAGAGGUAUGUGGAACUCCGAGUGUAGAGGUGAAAUUCGUAGAUAUUCGGAAGAACACCAGUGGCGAAGGCGACAUACUGGUCCGUUACUGACGCUGAGGCUCGAAAGCGUGGGGAGCAAACAGGAUUAGAUACCCUGGUAGUCCACGCUGUAAACGAUGAGUGCUAGUUGUCGGCAUGCAUGCAUGUCGGUGACGCAGCUAACGCAUUAAGCACUCCGCCUGGGGAGUACGGUCGCAAGNUUAAAACUCAAAUGAAAUUGACGGCUGAGACGNGCGAGACGACACGAGGAGGAGG
rnacentral:rRNA from 1 species